rnacentral:rRNA from 1 species
AUGAACGCUGGCGGCGUGCCUAAUACAUGCCAGUCGAGCGAACGGACGAGAAGCUUGCUUCUCUGAUGUUAGCGGCGGACGGGUGAGUAACACGUGGAUAACCUACCUAUAAGACUGGGAUAACUUCGGGAAACCGGAGCUAGUACCGGAUGAUAUUUUGAACCGCAUGGUUCAAAAGUGAAAGACGGUCUUGCUGUCACUUAUAGAUGGAUCCGCGCUGCAUUAGCUAGUUGGUAAGGUAACGGCUUACCAAGGCAACGAUGCAUAGCCGACCUGAGAGGGUGAUCGGCCACACUGGAACUGAGACACGGUCCAGACUCCUACGGGAGGCAGCAGUAGGGAAUCUUCCGCAAUGGGCGAAAGCCUGACGGAGCAACGCCGCGUGAGUGAUGAAGGUCUUCGGAUCGUAAAACUCUGUUAUUAGGGAAGAACAUAUGUGUAAGUAACUGUGCACAUCUUGACGGUACCUAAUCAGAAAGCCACGGCUAACUACGUG